rnacentral:lncRNA from 1 species
UCUGUAUGGAAAUGAUUUUGUGUUUGAAUUACAGGUUUGUUACUUCCUUGGUUAUCUAAAGAAGUUGACUGCAACCUUAUGAGUGGCCUGUUCAUACAGAUUCACUGCAGCAUCACUUGGCUUCUUCAGCUGUUGUUCACCCUGGAAUUGAAGGUUUCUUGCAUGGCAGCAUCAGUGUUAAUGUAACCGAGUGCCUGAUUUGCAGUCAGAGGGACUGGAGUUUGGAGAAGCUCAACAUGUAUGGCUG